UGUCCCCUACGGGGGGCAGCAGUGAGGAAUAUUGGUCAAUGGGCGAGAGCCUGAACCAGCCAAGUCGCGUGAGGGAGUACUGCCCUAUGGGUUGUAAACCUCUUUUGUCGGGGAGCAAAGCGCGGUACGAGUACCGCGAAGGAGAGUACCCGAAGAAAAAGCAUCGGCUAACUCCGUGCCAGCAGCCGCGGUAAUACGGAGGAUGCGAGCGUUAUCCGGAUUUAUUGGGUUUAAAGGGUGCGUAGGCGGAUUUGUAAGUCAGCGGUAAAAAUGCGGUGCUCAACGCCGUAUCGCCGUUGAA
rnacentral:rRNA from 1 species